GACGAACGCUGGCGGCGUGCUUAACACAUGCAAGUCGAGCGAUGAAACACCUUCGGGUGCGGAUUAGCGGCGAACGGGUGAGGAACACGUGAGGAAUCUGCCAUCCACUCUGGGAUAACUCCGGGAAACCGGGGCUAAUACCGGAUACUUUCAACUGGCGGCAUCGCCGGUUGAAGAAAGUUUUUCGGUGGAAGAUGACCUCGCGGCCCAUCAGCUUGUUGGUGAGGUAAGGGCUCACCAAGGCGACGACGGGUAGCCGGCCUGAGAGGGCGACCGGCCACACUGGGACUGAGACACGGCCCAGACUCCUACGGGAGGCAGCAGUGGGGAAUAUUGGCAAUGGAGGAAACUCUGACCCAGCGACGCCGCGUGAGGGAUGAAGGCCUUCGGGUUGUAAACCUCUUUCAGCAGGGAAUAAGCGAAAGUGAAGGUACCUGCAGAAGAAGCACCGGCUAACUAUGUGCCAGCCGCCGCAGUAA
rnacentral:rRNA from 1 species